GAUGAACGCUAGCGGGAGGCUUAACACAUGCAAGUCGAGGGGCAUCACGAGGUAGCAAUACUUUGGUGGCGACCGGCGCACGGGUGAGUAACGCGUAUGCAACCUACCCUGUACAGGGGGAUAGCCCGGAGAAAUUCGGAUUAAUACCCCAUAAUGCUAUUUUAUGCCGUCAUAAAAUAUUUAAAGCUCAGACGGUACGGGAUGGGCAUGCGUAACAUUAGCUAGUUGGUAGGGUAAUGGCCUACCAAGGCGACGAUGUUUAGGGGUCCUGAGAGGGUGAUCCCCCACACUGGUACUGAGACACGGACCAGACUCCUACGGGAGGCAGCAGUGAGGAAUAUUGGUCAAUGGGCGCGAGCCUGAACCAGCCAUCCCGCGUGGAGGAAGACUGCCCUAUGGGUUGUAAACUUCUUUUCCAGGGGAAUAAAAUCUCGAACGAGUUCGGGACUGAAGGUACCCUGGGAAUAAGCAUCGGCUAACUCCGUGCCAGCCGCCGCAGUAA
rnacentral:rRNA from 1 species